GCCGGGUGUGGUGGCACAUGCCUGUAAUCCCAGCUACUCAGGAGGCUGAGGCAGGAGAAUCGUUUGAACCCGGGAGGUGGAGGUUGCAGUGAAGUGAGAUCACACCACUGCACUCCAGCCUGGGCAUGUUGGUACAUGCCUGUAAUCCCAGCUACUCGGGAGGCUGAGGCAGAAGAAUCACUUGAACCCGGGAGGCGGAGGUUGCAGUGAGCCAAGAUCGCGUCACUGCACUCCAGCCUGAGCGACAGAGC
rnacentral:sRNA from 1 species